rnacentral:misc_RNA from 1 species
CGCACAUUGCGCCCAUUGGUAUUCCGAUGGGCAUGCCUGUUCGAGCGUCAUUAUCCUCUCUCCAACCUUUUUGGGUAUGGAUGUUGGACCGAUGUUGGUCGUCUCGACCAACUGGUCCCAAAGACAACGACGGCGUCCGUGGGACCCUCUUCGCAACGAGCUUUUCGAAGCACGCGUCGAGUUUUCAAGGACCUUCCGGGCCGGUCUCCUUUACAGUUUUCUCAAGGUUGACCUCGGAUCAGGUAGGAAUACCCGCUGAACUUAA